rnacentral:rRNA from 1 species
GAUGAACGCUGGCGGCGUGCCUAAUACAUGCAAGUCGAACGCUUUUUCUUUCACCGGAGCUUGCUCCAUCGAAAGAAAAAGAGUGGCGAACGGGUGAGUAACACGUGGGUAACCUGCCCAUCAGAAGGGGAUAACACUUGGAAACAGGUGCUAAUACCGUAUAACACUAUUUUCCGCAUGGAAGAAAGUUGAAAGGCGCUUUUGCGUCACUGAUGGAUGGACCCGCGGUGCAUUAGCUAGUUGGUGAGGUAACGGCUCACCAAGGCAACGAUGCAUAGCCGACCUGAAAGGGUGAUCGGCCACACUGGGACUGAGACACGGCCCAGACUCCUACGGGAGGUAGCAGUAGGGAAUCUUCGGCAAUGGACGAAAGUCUGACCGAGCAACGCCGCGUGAGUGAAGAAGGUUUUCGGAUCGUAAAACUCUGUUGUUAGAGAAGAACAAGGAUGAGAGUAAAAUGUUCAUCCCUUGACGGUAUCUAACCAGAAAGCCACGGCUAACUACGUGCCAGCCGCCGCGGUAA